rnacentral:tRNA from 1 species
AUAAUUUUAAGUUAAUAAGACUAUUAAUUUUCAAAGUUAAAAGAAUAAAAUUUUUAUAAAUUAU